UACGAAGGGGGCUAGCGUUGCUCGGAAUCACUGGGCGUAAAGGGUGCGUAGGCGGGUCUUUAAGUCAGGGGUGAAAUCCUGGAGCUCAACUCCAGAACUGCCUUUGAUACUGAGGAUCUUGAGUUCGGGAGAGGUGAGUGGAACUGCGAGUGUAGAGGUGAAAUUCGUAGAUAUUCGCAAGAACACCAGUGGCGAAGGCGGCUUACUGGCUCGAAACUGACGCUGAGGCGCGAAAGCGUGGGGAGCAAACAGG
rnacentral:rRNA from 1 species